UCUACUUCUCCUUUCCUCUCUGAAAUCAAUAAAAAUAAAUUUUUUUUAAAGGAGAGUAACAAAAAGCUGCCAGUGCAGUGGCUCUUGGCCUUUAUGGGAACACGAUAGAAGCCUGAUGGAAGGUCUGGGCCCUCUCUCCAGGAAUGCGCGUUCACACUGAGCUGGGCAUUCCCAUUUGAUGUCCUGGACAUUGUUGACAGCCGUGGUGGGGAGCUCCAUUAAAGAAGCCAGCCGGGGAUCCAGCAGUGCCUCUCUGUUCUCCAGCACCUUCUCCGGUCCCAGGAUACCAGUGCUCCCGCGGAGCUGUGGCUUCAUCCGAGGGUGAUCCUGCAAGGGAGGAAACGUGUCCUCACCACGUGACAGGUGGAGGAAGCCGAGGCCUGGCGGUUGAGAGGUUUCACCAAGAUCAUGUGUGCACACGGUUCUGCAUUCAGCGUGCACGUGACAAGGCACGGGCUGUGGUGUCAGGUGGGGAACAGGCUCUCUGGCACUGACCACACCUCUGCUGCUUUCUGAGGACCGUCAGGUGGAUGGUGCUCCCCCAGCAGGUACACAACCUGGCUCUGGUCUCCGAGUGAGGAGGAAGCCUCAAGGAAAGGAACUUCCCUGGCUCCCCAAAGCGGUGAGCAGAGCUUCGGCAGGAACUGAUGCUACCCGAGAAGAAAGGCUGCUGGCGUGUCUGGUGGGCGUGAGGUAUGUAUGCGAUCCUCCCCCCAUGGGGCGGCUGUCAACAGAGGUGGGGGUCAGAGGCUGCAGGUAAGCAGGGGCCUGAUCCCUGAGAGGGACGAGUAUGCAGUCCAGAGCCAGAGAGGAGCCAUAGGAGACCAGGACGACAAACACCUGUGCGUGUGCUUGUGCGUGUGCGUGUGUGUGUGUGUGUGUGUGUGCGUGUGUGUGCAUAUACACGUGCACAGGUCGGGAAGGGACGUCUGUCCAGUGGAGAGAAGCAUCGAGGCCAGCUGCCCUGCUUGGCCGUGGGAAAGAGGUGGGCCCAGGCUGUGAGUGCGGCCCGCAGGAGAGGGCAGGGCUGUUAGCCUGUCUCCGGAGGAAUCACGGGCCUUGAAUCUCCCUUACUUUGAGGAGGUCUUUUGGGCGGGAGUGAGGGGAAGGUUAAUGCUGCCGGACAGGAGAGAGUGUGGGAUGGAUGUGUGAGGGUUAGAAUGGUCAGGACAGGACCCAGAAGUGCUGUCUGGAGAAAUCACCUCCCCUUUGCAGGAAAGAGGGAGUCUGACAUCUUCUGAAAUAUACUCGGGGUGUAUGUUGGGGGGCCCACUGGCCCUGUUUCCUCUCCACCUUUUCCAAGCAGCUCUACAGGGUGGGCCACUGGCUUUAAAA